UAAACAAAGCGACAAUAACGGCAAUGUAAAGUUUGCGGAGACAAAAAAUUUCACCUUUGAAUAUAAAUAGAAACACUGAAUAGGCAGUACGGAAAAAAAUUUUUCUUAAAUCAACCCCAGACUUGAACCAAAAUAUAAAAAAUGUGAAAUUUGGAUGAAAAAGAAGCGUAUACAGCGUAUCAGGAACGUAUAGUUUGUAGGAAAAAACGCUGGAUUUAUCCUUUUCAAAAUCUCGUGGUAAAUGUACUGAGCCUUUCUAUAAAGCCCACCCAAGCCCUGUAAGGUACCGGACGAAAAAAGUCUCGCUACAGGGGGUUAAGAUGAUAAGAAAGGCUAGGGUGCUAGAUUAUUUAUCUAAUAAGGUAGUGUAAAGAAGUAAAACAAACUAGAGAAGUAGAAAAUAUAGGAAUUAAUGAAAUGG